rnacentral:tRNA from 1 species
GCCCCUUUGGCUUAGGGGUAGGGCGUCGCACGUUCGAUGCGAAGAUCACAGGUUCGAAUCCUGUAGGGGGCA